AUUCUGUUUCUCUGUCAAUGUCCAAGCCCGAUAGAAAGAUACAAUCUUCUUCACGAGAGACUAAAGAGAAAAUUAGGGUUCAUCGUCUUUUUUCAUCUGUGAAAUCCAAGAGCUAGACGAACAAUGGAGAUUUAGCAUGUCAAGCGAGACGAACCGUCGUGAAGAAUAUUUGUAUCAAGCUUCUACAGAAUCGUUUUUGUCUUUGGUUCUUUCCUGUGAGACCUUACGAAGAGACUUGAUUCAUCGCCUUUAAGAAACAUCUUAACUCAAUCGACGCAAAUCAAGCACAAAGUCUCAUUCAAUGAUACUCAUCCAUUCAAGGCGGUGUGUAUUUUACCUAUAAAAGGCGUUUCUUCCCUGCGUUUACUAAGAUCGUCUGGGCUCUCAUUCUUAAACAGUGGCUCGAUUUGAAUUCUCUUGGGAUGACACUGACUAUAACCAGAGACACUUGAUAAUCUGAAUUUCCAGAUGGCCACUGUAGGCAGUUUGUGGUGACACGUCUUCUUCGAUGAUGGAAGGCUCACAAUGAAAUAAGACGUUAUUUGUCAGGUGAGGGAAACUAUGGUUUAUCUACUUCAUGAAAAGUUAGUACUCUUGCGUGUUGAGCCAAAGAAUGCAGAGGACCAUCCAGAUGAUGAUAUGACAGGGGCUGUUAAUCUCUCUAUGGACUCGAACCCAAUUGUAAACAACAUUGGUCUAGAUAACACCAAGUCACCAACAGGUGUGAUGCUGCUGCAUCAAUCGAAGGCUGUUCAGAAGUGUCUGAACCAAUUCCUCCGAAACUGAUCCACUGAUCAACACGAAGGAGGAAACAAUGGAUGGUGACAAGGGUCCAAAUCUUAAGAAACCUCCAGAUGCUUGAUCACUCCAACUAUGGAGACAAUGAAGUUGGCGAAAGUGAAAACACCGAACUAAAGUGAAAACACGAUCAAUACAUAUUUUAAUAGCUUAGCUUUGUUGUCUAUAUUGUUUUGUUUAAAGAGGGAAAACCUCAGUUUUACAUAUCCGUGCAUUAUCAUGUGAUAUCACAACUAUAAUAUAUAUAAAAACCACAACACAGGAAUUUGUUA